rnacentral:rRNA from 1 species
AUUGAACGCUGGCGGCAGGCCUAACACAUGCAAGUCGAGCGGAGCGGCGGACGGGUGAGUAAUGCCUAGGAAUCUGCCUGGUAAUGGGGGAUAACGUCCGGAAACGGGCGCUAAUACCGCAUACUAUCAGAUGAGCCGAGGUCGGCUUAGCUAGAUGGUGGGGUAAAGGCCUACCAAGGCGGCGAUCCGGAACUUGUCUGAGAGGAUGAUCAGUCACUGGGGAACGGAGACACGGGCCAGACUCCUACGGGAGGCAGCAGUGGGAAAUAUUGGGCAAUGGGCGGAAGCCUGUUCCAGUCAUGCGGCGUGUGUGAAGAAGGUCUUCGGAUUGUAAAGCACUAUAAGUUGGGAGGCGUUACCAACAGAAUAAGCACCGGCUAACUUCGUGCCAGCCGCCGCGGUAAUAC